UUCGGAUUGCAGGCUGAAACCCGCCUGUAUGAAGUUGGAAUCGCUAGUAAUCGCGGAUCAGCAUGCCGCGGUGAAUACGUUCCCGGGCCUUGUACACACCGCCCGUCACACCAUGAGAGUCGGGAACACCCGAAGUCCGUAGUCUAACCGAAAGGGGGGCGCGGCCGAAGGUGGGUUCGAUAAUUGGGGUGAAGUCGUAACAAGGUACC
rnacentral:rRNA from 1 species